AGCAUCUGUGAGUGCUGCUACUUCCACGCUUGGAGGAGUGAUGGAGGCAACCGCCACCAUUCUACACACCUCAAGAUUCACUCUACCUCCGCUAGCCGCCGGUUUCAUUUUUCGCAAUCUUUUCUCUGCCCCAAAACCUCCCUAUUCUCCGGCGUUUCCCUCGUCUCUAUUUUCAACUGUAGGACAUCUCGAUCAAUUGUUCUUGCGGUUGAAAGAUCCGAUGCGGUUUUUCUCUUCUCCUUCCUGCUUCUCAUUUCCUGAAAUCGAAAAAAUGGGUUUCAUAGGCUUAAAUGUAAUACAAUAAUCUGCUUUUACAAGGAAAUUUCGAUGGAAGUAAACGCAACGAGGAUUUCAAUUUAGAGAAUGGAUCAAAUUUCACAAGAACACUGUUAGAUUUUGCAGCAUCUAACUUAAUUUAGAGAAUGGAUCAAAUUUCAACUUAGAGGAUUUCAUGAUUUUUUAUUUUAGUUUAGUUUUUUAAACAAUUUUCUUAAUUUCUUUUAUAAUUUUGUGGGGCUAAAGUUGCAGGGUAAAAAAAUUGGAGAAGUUGCAGAAGCUUGGCCUGUGGCAAUAUUUGGGCUAGUAUGACCCCAAUUUUUUAUGUGCCUAGUCCACUUCUCAGGUUUCAAUCUUGUUGAUUUUGUGCUAGUGGUGAGGUUGUAGCUAUUUAUUCUCCCCUCUCCCUAUGAAGUUGCUACUGAUAUGAGAAUUUUUUUUUUUUACUCCUUGUCCUUUUAUGCUCAGUCCAGUCAUGAAGUAGUAGGAAUAUUUUGUUUUCUAAUUAUCUUGUAAAGUAGGUGCAUUUCAUAUUAUUCACAUUAGAUAGGUUGUGUUGAAGGUGAGCUGAUAGGGCCACUACUAGAAGCCAAACUAGGCACAACUACUGCUGCUUCAUGAUUUAUAGCUUUAUUCUAUAGUUAUUUUAUUUUAUCUAAGUAGUUUUACGUCUGUCUCUGUCAUACCAGGCAUCUAUCUUAUUGCUUAGUCCUUUCUUCUCCUGCUUAAUUUUCCAAGUUCAACUUGCACCUCAAGAGUUUAUAACAGGUAUGCUGAAUGUAAUAAAACUGUCCUUUUUCCUAUGGACCAGUUAAUAGGGGGAUAUAUUUUUAAUUAGCUUAGUGUCAUUACAAUAGCAUUGUGUUUGGAGAAUUCAUUGAUCUUGGGAUUUCUUGGUACAAGAUUGGCUAUCUUUUGUUGUAUGCCAACCACAUCAUCAAGUGGAGUUGCACUCACACAAGUAUGCAUUUUCACUUCUUCUCAUUGAUCUCCCUUCCUUUUGUUUUGACUGUAAAUAUAUCUCCUGUAAUACACCGCCUAAAUAUAUAUUCUCAAUAAGGAUAUGUACCGUGUAAUGCAUAAUAUCGGUAAUGGUAUUUCCCAUAUAAUUGCAGCUUGUUGGUGAGAAUUCUGCUCUUGCUCUCGCAAUGACAGUGAUUUCUAAUUUACUAGGUGUUCUAACCGUAAGUUUAAACUUGCUCUUAGAAUGCCAGUAUUUUUAAUCAGGAGUUCAUUAAGUUUAGAACUUUAUGAACUGCACCAGCAGCUCAUUCUCUCCCGACUUACCAUAUUACACACUUGUUUGAUUGGAAAUUCUCUUUUAUAGCUUUUCACAACCUCCUUUCAUGCAGAUACACCUCAAAAUUUCUGGAUUAGAUAUACAUACUGCCUUCUAUCGUUCAUUUAUAUAUUCCUGUGUUUCAUAUUUUUCUAAUCUCCACUAUAGUAUGCUAAUGAUUGUUUGAUGCCAUAGGUUCCUUUUUGGAUCUCAAGGCUUUUAACUGAUGGUCUUGGUGUAUCCAUGCCAAUUGGAAAGCUAUUUUGGAGUCUAAUUUUCACUCUUGUUGUUCCUUUGGUUUUGGGAAAGGUUCCUUCCUUGCCUUUGCUCAUAUUAAUAAUCCUCAUUUUGGACAUAUUCUAAAUAUUGUUAACUUAUGUACCAUAGUUAUUAAAGGCAUGCCUCAGGCUCAAGGCUCUAUAGGCUCCAACCCUAAUGCCUUAUGCACCUAGGCGUGCACCUUUGUUUCAGGCACAAGGUUCUAGAAAGGCAUGCUUUCUUUAUUUUCACCUUAGUAAGCACUUCCAUUGGUAAAAAGUGCUACCACUUAAACUUAAUAUUUUUCAACUCAAUUCAAGCCUUUAUCCCAAAAAUUUAUAUAUUUUGAUUACUACUAUGCCAAGGAUUUGAACCCUGAUAUUUGUCGAUCAAUAAGAAUUUUAUAUUGACUCACUAAAAAGUUUUUGGAAUUAGUAUAUCACUAAUGAUAACUAGUCAUCAAAAUCUCAUCAAACCAACACACCUAAGAUUGCAAGCCUCCCAUAUUUUUAUUUUCAACUCUACCGCUCUAUUAUUAUCUUUUUUUAAAAAAAAAAUGUUACAUUUACACCUAUUUCAAGAUAUAUGCCAAAGGAAAAAAAGAAAAAACAUCACAUUUAUUUGACUUUUAUGGAUUUUUAUUUAUUUUGCUUUUGUGCCUCACCCCGCUCACACAUGCGCUUGUGCCCUAUGCCUUGCGCCUAGGCUCCAGGACCCCUUGGUGCCUUAGUGCGCCUUGAGCCUUUAAUGACUAUGUUAUGUACUAAGGAUGAAAUAGUUCUAUUGAUGGGUUUUUAAUAGAUUAUGAAUCAAUUUCUUUUUGAUGAUUAACAAUAAAUGUACCUUUAAGUUUUGGGAAUAACAACUCAGCCUCUCUCUGUGCCUCUACUAAGCUGCAUAAGAUGAUAUGUAUUACUCUUUAAUGGUUUUUUCUUCCCUUUUCUUACUUACCAUGGAGGUUAGAACAUCAUGUUUGUUUAGUUAAGUUCUUGUAUCUACCUUAGAAUGACAAGGAGCAGAACCUUCUAGCUCCCCCUGUUUAAGUUAAUCUAUUCUAAAAAAAGUUAUUUUUAUUUUCUUUUACUUAUCUCUUUGAAGUAUUUUCAUUUGUAAUUUUGGUAUUACUAAAUUUUUGUCAAGAAAUUAGAAAAUUGUUAAAUAGACGCAUGCAAGUUUAGAUCGUCUCCUGAUGGUUUAAGUUCCAAAACUGUUUAAAGGUUUUCCAGACUAGAAGUGAUUCAAUAGAGGCAUGAAAGCUUAUUUGAUUAUUUUUAUCAAACCCUGUACACUCAAUUUGACUUCAAAACUCAUAAGCAAUGUAUUUAGAAGUAACUAAUAUUGCUGAAACUUCCAAAGGAGAUGGAGUAGGAAGUAUUUUGACCAACUUAUUGAUAUGGCUUCCAUACUUGAUUCCAAGCAUUCUAUAACAACCGAGUUAUUGCUGCAGCAAUGCUAUAAACUGGAUCGUCUCCUAUGCCACUGGCUGAGCUAAGCUUUGUGAUACAGGCUGUGAUUACAAAUAGUUAAAAGGAUCUUAACUUUCCAUUUUUUAAGAAAAAUUGUUAUAAAAAAAUGGACUAAAUGUGCAGGGGAAAUAGUCCAUAAUUUGCGAUUGCUAUCAUAUUCUUGAAAGCCGAAAGUAAUUAAAAAAUAUUUGCAUAUUUCUUCAUUUUUAAUAGUUCUUCCUUUUGUUUAUUUUCUUUAUAGUUUUCUGGAUUAUAGUGAUGUUGAAAAAGUUCCAGGAAGACAUCUGUUGGAUAUUACCAUUACAUCAUUGUUAUUUGUAUCUUGUUUCUUUCACAAUUUGCAGGAUUUUUAUGUGCUUUUUCAUUCACAGGUAGUCUGGAAUAGCUUUAAAGGUAAUCCUUUGAGCAAACCUUUCUUGUUUGCUGUGGGUAAUUAGUUGGAUUCUCUUCUGUGCUCCCUUAUUUGCAUUUCAUAUUUUACUCAAGAACAUAGGCCAUCUUCCCCACUUGGAAAAAAAAAAUAGUAAAAAGAACAAAACAAUGCCCAUCUGCUCUGUUAGAUAAUGAAAUGAAGCUGUAUUUGCUGCAUUCGUGUUCUGGAUUUUAAGUGAGGUUUUUUUUGAAAGAAUAAUGAAAUUUUUAUAUUUAUUGGAUAUAUGUGUGUGUGUGUGCAUAUACGCUCCAGAAAAAAAUGAAAUAACUAUCAUUCUUUACGCACUACAAAUAUGUAUGUUUGAUUAAAACUGUCCUAUAUGUUUGGCAGCAUACGUUGAUAAAAAUCAGAGAGUUUUCUCAGUAGCCAAUACCAUCCUCCUCACCCUAGAAAGUAUUUUAUCCUUCUAUGGUUCUUCACAAUACUAAAUAUUUGUAAGAAAAGCGCAUUACCUUUUUCGUCCUCUUUGUUUGGGUAAAUUCAAAUGCAAAAUAUAUAUUACCCUAUAAUAUGUUAGUUGGGAUUAGGUAGCAAAUUAGCAAUACGUCAGACCUAGUAUUGUUUAGCCUUGGCAACUGUAAUUAUGCUCAUUGAACAGCAUGGAUUAUACAUAUGUUGCAGGUAGCUUGUGGGACUCUAUUGAGAUUACAAUAAUUAAGUUAACAAAAAUAGUACUGGAAGUUUAUUGUUGAAUUUUUUACCAUACUAAAUUAAAGGAUACUUUUAACUUCUUUUUCUUUUUAUAUAAUUUUGCUCUGAUAUUUUUUUGUUUUAUUUGUUGUUUUAGACCCUGUGGAUGCAAGUAAGUACAUCUAGACCCUUGCUUUUAAUGGUCAAGCCACUAGUGUUCGUUGAAGCUAUUGGGAUGGGAAUGAAAAAUGGUAUUUUUGAGGGACUAAAAAAGAAAUUUUGCCAUUAAGGAGUGAUUUCUACAGCCAAAGAUGUCAAAAACAAGUUUCAAAGUUGAAGUAUGCAUUGGCCAAAUUGCGCAUAACUUGCCGCAUAAGUUGUGCAGUUCUGCACAAGGAGAAGAAACAAUGUUCCAAACUUGCCGAAAUCUGCAUAAGUUGCCGCAUAACUUAUGCAGAUUCGCGCCUUGCUUAUGCGACCUAACGGAAAACUGCAUAACUUAUGCAGUCUUGCACCCUGCUCAUGCAGCUUCGUACAGAGAGCCCAGGAACCAGCCGAAAACUGCAUAAGGGACUGCAUAACUUAUAUAGUCCACUUAUGCAGUUCCAUAAAGUCUUCAUAAUGAGCUGACAGAAGAUUCCCUCAUAAAAACACACCAUUUUAGGGCUCCUUGUCAGAGAAAAAGAUAUAAAUAGGCCCUUAUCCCAUUUUAGAAAGGGAGAAAAAAAAUAAAAGAAGAGGAGCAGCAACUGAAGAGUCACAAAGGGGAGCUAAAAUGUCACCCCUCCAUUUUUCUAGACAGAUUUUGAGUUUUUUUUCCUUUCUUGCAUAUUUCAUACCUUUCUUGUAUUGAGUUUCUUUAGUUUUAGUUUAUUUUCAAGAUUUAUUUCCUCUUUUACUUAGAAUUUCUUGUGUUAAACAUGGAUUGUGAGUAGUUUUCUUUGAUUCUGGAGUAAGGGAUGUAAUAUUUUAAUUAUUUUUGCGGAUUUGAACUGGGUUAGUCCCAAUUUAAUAAAAUUUAUGAGGUUUAAUUCA